ensembl:lncRNA
UGCAGCUAUGAAGCUCCAGGACCUGGGAAGGGGCAACUGAGGAGGUCUCUUGACUGGAGCAGUUGCUUUCCCUCCCGAGUGUGUGAGGUUAAGAUUCGCAGUCCUCUGUGCUUCCAUGGUGGAUGCUGUGGCCUUAACUUCUGGGAGACUCAGGCUGGAAUGUAAAAGUACCAGGAUUGAAAAGCACAUGGAGUUCCACCUUUAAGUUCCAUAUUCAGUCCAAUUUCCAGUUCCUCUUCAUUAUGGUUCUGAACAGCUGAACUUAGGCUCUGAAGUGCUAUUUUCCCAGUCUUCUCAGAAACAUGAUGACUUUAUCAGAGAUUAUGGAUGGAAGGCUCAAUUGUCACUGAGCUAGAUGGAGCCAGAAAUGACUUGGAUUUCAAGUAGAAUUGAAGAAUUUCUUUUGGAACCAAUGACAGAAAACUUUCUUAAUAAAC